AUACUUGUUGAUCUUGUUAAGUUUGUACUUCAACUUUCAUUGUUUUUUGCAACCAGGUGGAGUGGCUGUCAAGGGAACCACAGGAAAAUAAGCUGGUAAUACAGAUCCUGGUUCCACCUGAGUGGCAUGCGGCACACACUGGGACUGGGCUCCAAGCUUUGUUGUUGGGGUAUGGGAAUGGGAAUCGCCUGACAGGCAGCCAGAGCCAAACCCAACACUAACCCUCGAAAAUGUAUUGUUGCCAUUUAUGUGUGAUUUCUCAAUAUUUUUCUGUCUGAAUCCCAAAUCACCCCCUUUCCCUCACCAUUCGGCCCUCCAUUUGCGAGUUCAAGCGCUUCAAGCCAUUUGUACAAGUGUCCCAAAGCUGAGGGAGGGAAAAUUAUCGAGGAUGUAAGGGCUAAUUAGACCAUCGGAUAUCCACAUCGACUGAGCAAGCAAGGCUGCAGACAACAGAGCGAAGUGCUAUCCUGACAUGCACUGCAAUAUGUUUGGAGUUUGCACAAUGUAAUACAAAAGAAUGGAGAGGCGUGCCUAAUUAUAUGUCAUGUGCAUUUGUUUGUCUGAUUUCGAGACUUGACACAUAACUGAUGAAAUAUCUCCCAAAUUAAAUGUUUAACUGUUA